rnacentral:lncRNA from 1 species
AAUAGGGCAGGACGAGGUGGGUACUGGGAGGUAUUUAUACAUUCAAUAAUACCAUGUAGGAUGUAUAACUAAUUUAUCGAUUAGUUAUACAUAGGCUCAAAAUUCCUACCGAACAUAGUAGUACUAAAUAAUAUCAUACAUAAUAUAUAAACUAUUUCUCUUAAUACUUCCUACCAAACGUCCCCGGAAAGUCCCCUCAAAGUCUUGAAGAGGAAAGGACGUGAUUGUAAGCGUGUCAAUUCACAUUGGUCAAAUCAGCUGAGAGUGUUGCCCUACCUUAUCCUGCCUUUUUAAGCAGUCCCCUACCCUGUCCCGUUAAACUCUUGCCCUGCC